CAGUAGCCGCGGUAAUACGUAGGGUGCAAGCGUUAAUCGGAAUUACUGGGCGUAAAGCGUGCGCAGGCGGUUAUAUAAGUCAGAUGUGAAAUCCCCGGGCUCAACCUGGGAACUGCAUUUGAGACUGUAUGGCUAGAGUGUGUCAGAGGGGGGUAGAAUUCCACGUGUAGCAGUGAAAUGCGUAGAUAUGUGGAGGAAUACCGAUGGCGAAGGCAGCCCCCUGGGAUAACACUGACGCUCAUGCACGAAAGCGUGGGGAGCAAACAGGAUUAGAUACCCCUGUAGUCCCUGUCUCUUAUAU
rnacentral:rRNA from 1 species